CCUUCCCUUUCAGGAUGCCAGGUGGGAGGAGCUGAGGGAAAGUACUCACUAUGGUCCACAUCUGACAGGACUUUCCACAGAGCUAGCAACCUGGUCAGAGAGAGGAAGUUUUAUCUGUGCACCCCUUCCCCAAGGAUGAACCAUUCUCACUCUACAAAGUCCUGUGUGCUCAUCCUGCUAGUGGCCCUACUGUGUACAGAAAGAGCUCAGGGGCUCAAGUGCUACAAUUGCCUGGGGAUCCCACUCGAGGCUUCCUGCUCAUCAAUAAUGACCUGCCCUUACUAUAAUGCAUUCUGUGUGACUCUGGUGGAAGAACUUACUGUGGGUAAGUGGAC